AGUAGUGAUUAACGUUGUAUGUUCGGCAGUACAACGUUUCAUUAAGUGCCUUGGUUCGUCUUUGUGCUAAAACAAAUACGGUAUCACUAAUUAACCAUCGAGAUUAACGAGUUUUCGAUGACUGUUGAAGUCUUGAGUAAACGAAAGUCGACAGUUACGGUUUGCAGGGCGGACAUGCCGGAACAUAAAUGCUGGUUAGUUCAUUGUCAUGUCAGCCCGACUUCGGUUGUUGCAUUUUUCGCUGGUAGUGAAACUACACACCGAAAAUUUUGCGCAAGUACUUUUGUUUGCAUAUCAUGGUUUCAUAGCAACUGGGUUUUUCUUUUUAUAGGUGCUUGGACUAUCUUGCAUCGGUGGAUAUGAAAAUAGUGGUAACCUACCCUACGAAACAGCUGUUUGCACAUAAGCUUAACAGUUCCCUGUGAGAUGCUGUGAAAGUCAGCAGGGAAGUGCGAUGUAGAAGAAACGACUGCCAGAAGCUUGCUAAGGAACCGCACAACCUGUGUGGGCAGCAGACAAAAUAUUCAUCAAACGGUACAAAACUAGUAUUUUUGUGCUUUGUCGUUUUGAGACAUCCUUGGUAUUGUAUGGAGAACAGCGUGACUAUGUCAUUCCGUCUUACUUCACCCAAACAGCUAUCUGGUAGUAGUGCAAGAUUUGAGUUCCUAAAAGGUUUAUUCACUGAAGUCACCUCAGCGCCAUACUAUAGGUCCCGCAAUGUUUAGUCCUUGCAUUUGUUUGCUGCAUUAUGCUUUUUAGGUGACUAUUAACACCAAAAAUAUGGAAAUUGCUCAGACAUUCUACAAAUCACAGAGCAACAAGUUUUAAACACCAGAUAUACGGUGAGUAUAAUAUGGGUAACAGCUUGACUGAAAUCUACAAUAGGGCCGAUGGCAGCAAAUCUGCCUGCUAGCGACAGUGGCGGUCUCCUGCGGAUGACGUCAUGUGAAUAAACUUGUAUACUACUUGUACGUACUUAUAAUAUUUGACGUGGUGAUACAGCCCUUGCUUUGUAUUGUCUUUUAUAAUAUACACAGUGUUUAUUUUUAUCCUGUACAGAAGCUUUGCACCAAAGUUAUGAGAGCAGCACAGAUGUUGUUUUAGCGUAAUGGAGUGAUGGAAGUGCUGCACCAAUCAUGGAGUGCUUAGCAGUCGCCUGCUCGACCAGCCACAGUGAGUCAUUGGAGGCAGUGCUACAGCACCAACAAUCACUCGUUGGAAGAAAGGAAUGAGGUGGCCAUCAACACCCUGCUGCCAGUUCAACACUCCUCAGUCAAAACACAAGACGCCUGCUUGGCGGCAAAGUCAAUCCAGUUUUAGACAAGAGUUUUGUACCGUAGACUUCGUGUGUGGCUUACUGCGAAUAAAUGUUUAUGCUGA